GCCAGUGUGUAGGGCUGGCCCCAUCUGUACAGGGUCAGUCCUGGCCACAGCUCCUUUGGGCACCUGAGAUUCUUUCGCCUCAGCAAUCAGCAGGACAGAACUGCCCAUGGCCAUGCUGAUGCUGAGCUGGGACCCCAGCCCUGGCACACAAGGCCCCAGCAGGAGGGCUUUCAAGACCCCUAAGCAGAUAAUAUACAUUGAACUGCUACCAGUUACCCAUUGAGGAAACGGACUUCUUAAAGAACUUACUUGUUUAAUGAAAGUCAUCUAUAUGUAAAGUAUGAUGCAAAGAAAACUGAAAAACAUAACAACAUAACAAACUGAUUUCAGUCUUCCAGGUCUCAGCACUUCAGGAGGUGGAAGUCAAAGGCAUUAUUGUCUGUUUUUCUCUUCACAAGUAAACGGUGUUGUUUUAUGACCUUAUUUUCUUUCCUGACUGAGUCCUCAGCUAGGUCUGCGAGCCAGAUGAAAAGGGGUGCUUCAGAGUUUUCAGUGUGGUAGGAAUUAAAGUCACAUUUAAAAAUCAGCAACAAUGCUGCAGAACUGCCUGCAUGCCUAAGAGUUUAUAAGCAUAAGAGUUUUGGUUGUAAAGUUAUUUAAGCAUUGACAGUGGUGUCAUUUUUUGAAGUUGUUUUGUCAGAGUUGGGCAGCUCUAAUUCUAUAUUUCAUUUAAAGCCAACUAAGAUUCAUUGGUUUAAAUAAAAAUGCUGUCAUGCCAUGCCAGAUAGCUCCUGCAAAACACAUACCUCUUUGCUUCUAAGACAUCAAUGAAAAAGGAUAGAAACUAUCUUUACUAUGCUAAAUCAAUAACCCUUUACUCAGCAGUAUGAACUUUGAGUUUCUUUUUGGUCUGAAAUAAUAUCAGUGCACAUCUAAAAAAGCUGUUAAUCACAAAUAGGCAAGGCUGAAGAAGAAAGUGUCCUUCAUCAUUCUUGUUGAAGGGCGGGGGAAGUAAGAUUUCUGUGACAGUUGGAAACCUAAGUGUCUAUAACCGGCUUUGAGAAUUUGCAGAGCUGGGCAGAGAAUUAAUCAUUAUGAGAGCUAUCAUCUUCAUGCCCAAGACUCUUUGUGAACCUCAUCUCAUAGCCUUUCACAAAAUCAUUUACCUGUCUUUAUGUGUUUGAUCCCAUCUUUUGAAGGAGAAAACUAAAGAUUGUGCACUACAUAAAUGAAGCUUGGAAUAAAACACACAAAACUAUAUAGAUGAGUGUUCUGUACUGAGGCUGCUUCAAAUGUUACAAUUAAAAUGUCAGAUAAUUACUUGAUUUGACCCACAUGCUAGAAUGGACUUAAUCUCUGUUUUGAGAAGUUUGAUUUUUUGAUGUUUUAAUUUCCAGCCUGUGUAAGCAUUAAAAUCAUGCUUUGCUAGGCUCUGUCUUACAGCACUUCGCCUUUCUUGACUGCUUCCUUAAAUAAUGUUAUGUUUGAAUUUUUCUCCUGUUGUAGAAACUAUAGAUAUCUUAAGGGAACCUAUUCCAAAAGUCCUUGAUAAGCACACUUUAUAUAUAGCUUCUUCAGCUCUGUGCUGUGAUAGUCACAAUAUUUUAUAGGAGGAAUCUCACCAGUCAUUUCAGAUAUGUCCAUAGAGCCCUUUGUAGAACAACCCUCCGAAACUAUCCUUGGGGAGAAAGAAAAUAUAUUUCCACAGUGUCAUUAUUUUUACAGUUUGAUUAUAAUGACUACAGCUAUAGUUCUAUUACUACUGACACUAGUAUUACAAGUGUAACAUACCACAGCAGAAUGUGACAUUUCCUAGGCUAUUGUAAAGCCUCCAGAAACCAUCAAGGAUUUGCUUAGUCUACUAUAGAACAUGUCUGAGAAAUUAAUUUUAUGAGACAGGGCACCAUUGUGAAUAAAACCACCUAGAGUGUUCAAAGUGAAUGUUUUGUACCCAGUGUGAUAAAGCAAGAGUUUAGUUUAAGCCAAAAGAAUAUCUGGAACACUUUGUUUUCCCACAUACCACGUUUUAUUACAAUAGACAAGAAGAAACCAAAUAAACUGAGAAUAAAAAUUACCAGUGUGUGUAAUGGUUGUGCUAAGUUUUUAUGUCUGGAGAGUGGACUUGAGGGAGGCAAAUAAACUCUUUUAUGCGAUCCAGUUUUGUACAUGAAUCUAUUGAAAUUGCAUUGAAUUGAAACUUGAACUUAUAUUUUGUUAGUACUGGUUCACAUUUCAGAAGAAUUUCUGGAAAAAAUACGUAUUAAAAUGGACUGUGAAAAUAUCAGGCUAGAACCGAUCAAAAAUAUAGAGAAACAGAAAGGAUUAGAAAGAAGGUGGUUUAUGACAAAUUGAGGAAAGGAGUGUGAGGUAAUCAACCUAAUUCAAGUCUAGGCAUACCUGCAGUUUAUUUAAUUUCUCUGUACCUUGUUGAUAUUUACAUUUUUAAAUAUAGCACAUGACAUUAGAAAAUUCAAA